ensembl:rRNA 5S_rRNA 5S ribosomal RNA
GCUUACGGCCAUACCACCCUGAGAACGCCCGAUCUCGUCCGAUCUCGGAAGCUAAGCAGGGUCGGGUCUGGUUAGUACUUGGAUGGGAGACCGCCUGGGAAUACCAGGUGCUGUAAGCU